UAGGGCCUCACGGGACAAGACUACAGAAGACAUGAGCAGGACUCAGGAAGAGACCUCAGAAACCCACAUUCCCAGCAGGGCUGUGUCUUUGUUCUUCAGCUGGAGGCAGGAAUUCAAGACUCUGGAGGUCGCACUCCAGGACUUCAGGAAAAGAUGAAAUAUCUGGGAAAGAUAUUCAGCCCUGCUACAAGCCUCAGAUUGUGCAUUACAAGACAGGGUGGUGUGGCCAGAAGGUUCGGUUCUCAGCACCUGUGAGAACCUUCAUUCUCUUGUGGAAGCCAGUCCCCUCACCAUAGAAGAUGAGCAGUAUAUAUAUCACACUGGUGACAAACCUAACCACCCUGAGUUUUCAAGACCUACAGACUCCACGACUGCAGGGGAUUAGAGACAUCAGCAGUUUAAGCUAUAAUCAAGCCCAGGGGCACCAUGGAAAUAUGAGGCUGCACAUCCUGGAACAGCUAACUGUGCUGAUGCUGCCCUGGUGGUGACAUAUGAGUUAGCCUGACCAGGCUGUUGGAAAGUGGAGGCCUCCUGCUCCAGUUUGUCAAGGUUGGGCUGAAAAACUGGAAACUCAAGAUGCCAAGAUUAGAUUCUAGGUAGGUACACACACACACACACACACACACAUACACACACACACACACACACAUACACACAGCCAAGGCAAAAGGAGUUAGCCCUAACAAAGCUCUUAAGUUGCUUUUAAAAAUUGUGUUUAUUUAUAUACCUCCUCUCUAUAUUUUCUAAAUAUUUUAUUUUUAAGUAAUCUCUACACCCAAUGUGGGGCUUGAGCUCACAACCCUGAGAUCAAGAAUCACAUGCUCUACCACCUGAGCCAGUCAGGGGCCCCACCUUCACUUUUUUAUACAAAUAUAUUUAAGGAGAGUUCACACACUCUAAGGAGUAAAAUGACUUAAAAUACUGGCCCAUCUUCAGUUUUCUAAGCUUUGGAUCUAUAGUAUUAAAGGAAAAACUUUUCCAUUACCUGACAAGGUGUAUUAUGUUAGGAAUUGCUCUUGCUAGCCUUAACUGUCUGAAAUUCAGCAAUGCAGGGUGCUGGGGUGUCUCAGUUGACUAACCAUCUGCCUUUGGCGCAGGUCAUGAUCCUGGGGUCCUGGGACUGAGCCGAGCCCUGCAUCAGACUCCCUGAUCUGAGGGAAGCUUGGUUCUCCCUCUCCCUCUGCCUCUUCCCUCUGGUCGUGCUCUCUCUCUCUCUCUCAAAUAAAUACAUCUUUUAAAAAAUGAGAUUCAGGGCAGCCCGGUUGGCUCAGAGGUUUAGCGCCGCCUUCAGUCCAGGGCGUGAUCCUGGAGACCCAGGAUGGAGUCCCAUAUUGGGUUCCCUGCAUGGAGCCUGCUUCUCCCUCUGCCUGUGUCUCUGCGUUUCUCUCUCUCUCUCUCUCUGAGUGUCUCUCAUGAAUAAAUAAAUAAAAUUUUUUAAAAAAAUAAAAAAUAAAUAAAAAAUGAGAUUCAGCAAUGCCUCUCCAACUUGGGGGAAUUUUUUUUUUUUUGGAAAUAUUUUUAAGGAAUAUCUGUUGGGUGUUCAAAACAUGUAAAGCUAAGUACAACUUUAUCUAAAUGGGAUCACUGAAUAUUUUUAAAGCAACUGUGAAAUAAUCCCAGAAUAGAGAUAUAUAAAUGAUUAAAGAUCUCAUCAGCCUCAGGCAGUUGAUGGAGGGUCUUCAUGCACUCUGUAUUAGUUAUCAAUUUCUGUCCAACAGAUUACCCCCCAAAAUGGUGGCUUAAAAUAACUAUAAAUAUUAUCUUACAAUUUCUGUGGGUGAGGAAUGUGGGAGCUGGGUAGUUCUGGCUUAAGCUCUGUCAUGAAGUUGAAGUACAGAUGUAGGAUGUGGCUGCUGGAGAAUCUGCUUUCAAGGUGGCUCCUCAGUGGGUUGGCGGGUUAAUGCUAGCUCUUGGCUGAAGGCUUCUGUUUCUCAUCCCUGGACCUUUCCAUAGGCUGCUUGAGUGUCCUCACAAUAUGGUAGCUCACUUCCCUCAGAGCAAGAGAUCUAAGAGGGAACCAUUUGGAAGCUGCAAUGUCUUUUAUGAUCUAGCCUUGGGGAGUCAUUUCUGCUUUAUCCUAUUGGGUUACCCAGGUCAGCCCUAUCCACUGUGGCAGGAAGUGGGGGCAGGGUAGACAAUAUAAGGGAGUGUAUACUAGGAGAUGAAGAUCAUUGGCACCAUUUGGAAGGCUGACUAAUAAUAUACUUAAGGACUGGUGAAAAUAGUUUUGACUUCAUUUCCCUCACAGAUUGUCUAGGAUAUAUUUGUAGUAUACAUAUUGUGAAACUUAUAAUUCUAACCAUUUUUAAGUAUACAGUUCUGUGGUAUUAAGUGCAUUCACAUUCUUGCACAACCACCAUCACCAUUCAUCUCCAGAACGUUUUCAUCUUCCUUGACUAAAACUCUGUACCCAUUAAAAACUAAAUCCCCAUCUACUCUUUUUAAAAUCUUUUCUCUUAGGGAUGCAUAAGAGAAAAGUCCUAAAGCUCUAAGUCCUAAGGCUCCUCAAGGGUUUUUGCCUUCCCUAAUGGUGCUUCAAGUUCUGGAUCUUUUUCCUCUUAAUUCCUAACUCCACCUCCAUCUCCUCUACCCACUCCCUUAACCCAUCAAGUCAUAUGAUUCUGGGUGUCAUUCUUACAGGUCCCUCCUCUAUUCUGGGUGAUAUUGGAGGUGGCUUCUGUGACCAGGCUAAGUAAUUAGCUAAUAAAUAAUCCCUGUUGGGUAACUUCAUACUUUAGACAAGUUGGAAAGGAUGUGUCUUUUCAAGGAGACCACUGGAGAGUGCAUAGAAUUAGAAUCAUAUGUUGGGGAGGCAUUUUUAGAUCGAGGCCUUUUAGCAUCUUUCAAAUCCUUAAGUAGGUAGCUGGCUGAUUUGCUCACUUCUCAGGCUGGCCAAUGAGACCAGAGAAGGAGAUGGCAUAUUUAGUGAGAAAAGAACUGAGCUAGGGAGUAAUCUGCCAUUGGACUUGAGUUGCCCAAGUGCCUUAGAGCCUCCAAAUGUAAAUGAGAAAAAUAAGUGUAGAAGUCAGGUGAUUCUUGGAAAUUUAGCUGUUAACAAUGUACCCCCAAAUGCAAGUAAAAAAAAUUACAAAGGAACAACUAA
rnacentral:lncRNA from 1 species